UGAAAUCUGUGGAGAUAACUUCAGCCUCAGAGUCACAGCUUAGAAUCUGUUUCCCAGUAGAAGAAGCCUCUGGAGCCAUAAACUGACAACACUUAAAAGACAAUCCUUAUUUUUCCCUUAAAACAUGUAAUCUGAUGCUGAAAAUGGAAACUAAGGGAGGCAGAUAAGAGGUUGAAAAACAGACUAACAGCAAAUAACAGGAAGAUGCUGGAUCCUGAUACCACUGGAACUUCUAUUAACAUCCUCAGUUUUCAACCUCCAGAAUCCUUUUAGUGCCUGGUUUUUCAUUCUGUCCCAGACUGCAGACCUUGUGUGGCCCUGGGUCAAGCAGUGUCCUCCCCUGAACUG